CUGGGCAAACAGUUCAUCCGGUGAAAAAAGCAACGUGCAAUUUCAUCUAACCUUUCUCUCUCUUCCUCCCCCACAUCGCUGCCCUGGCCCUUCUUCUCCAUCUCGACUCCCGCAGCCAUGCCGCCGGAAGCCCCAUCCCAUCACCUCACCAGCCUCCUCAGCCCCACUGCUCGCCGCCGCAGCUCAUGUGUCCUCUCCCCGUCCUAUUCCUCCUCGGACGCAGUCGUCCCACACCUCCAAUUGCCGCAAGGCGCAAACCCUAGGUCCUGUUCUGUGCUAAGGGAAGCACUGCUCUAGGCGGGGGUCGGGGCCGUAGAUUCGUUGCACAAGAGGACGAGCCGACGCUGAGAAGGCACUGCGGGAGGCACGGGGUCAGGAGGAGGGUUGGAGGCGUUGCUCGAGGCAGGGGUCUUGGGACGCGGAAUUAGCCUGUGUAGAGGAGGCAUGGGGACGAGCAGCUCUGCUAGGGAGAGGGAGGCGCUUGGCCUGCUCUAUGUAAAAUCUUCCUGCCCAUCCUUCCCUAGCGAUGAGUAUGGGCGCUUCCUCCUCAGGCCGGCCAACCACCAAAUACAUGCACUUCAUCUGUUGUUCUUCCUCUAUUUCUUGGCCGCACUGAUCCAGCGCCUUGGAACUUUAAAAUUGCAGAGAUAGUAUUUCUUUCAUAGGGAUUUCAGGUAUGAUUGUUUCUCAUGUGCUACAAAUUCUAUUUUGUUCCCGAUUUUUUGAUGUAUUUUCUGGUUUCUAGCUUCUAUUACGAAAAUCAUAUGGUAAAAGUGUGCUCCCUGCAUGAUUGGGAAUAGUUAUUAGACUGCUAAUGUAUUCUUUUUCUGCAGUUUUUCCGUAGUAGCAAGAGAUGAUUGCUAGAUGUGAAGCAUCUCAUUUCUUGCAUAUGUGCAUAAUCCUUUUCCUGCAAUAGAAGUAUACCAGCUCGCUGUCGCCUUAAAUUUCCAGGCUCUGUCGCCGCUGGACUGGUGAGGGUCGCCAUCAGCUAUGUCCGUUGUCCCUGGGCACACCUGCCACAAUUGUUAUGCCACGUAUCAAGGUUCGGGGGACGGUGUUCAGUCGGAUGUCGGCGUUGGUGCUCUCGGAGGCGCAGAUCACCUGCUAGCACGGCUGGAGAUAACUGCCGCAUCCUAUGGUGGCCAACUCAGCAGCAGUAUCGACGCCAAAUCUGAGGCGUGUAACUUCAUCCCUUCGCAUCUCUCACCCCCAUUGAUGCCACAUCUAUUCACUAAAACACAUUUAGUUUGUUGAUUGGUAUAGGGUGACCCGAAUAAGGUUGUCACAUAUAUAAUCAUGUUAUGACAUCUUUUAUUUUGAUUGGUAUAAUCUGAGUGAAUAAGUUGACUGAUGUUGUGUAGUCUACAUACAUUGUCAUUUUUAAUAUGGAUGUGUAGUAAUUAAAUCAUAUUUAUGUGUGCACAAAAAAUACUAUCUGAAUUCCCCGAUCUGUAUUAACAAACAAUAUGGAAUGUGCAAGCUUAACACAUUGUUCUUAUGCUCCCUUUUCUGUUUGUGCAGAUCAAAUAGGAGAUGCCAGUGUUUAUCUUUUUCAUCUAUUUAUCUAUUAUGUAUGUUCUUGCCAGCUCAGAUGUAUUCUUAGGCUGACAGAUUUAAUGUCACAAGGAGCAAUGUAGUGUUGCAAAUAUUGAUGGAGCCAGAGGUGUAGUAUUGGUGAAGUGGCAUUGAUUUUUCUCUGCUGUAGAAAGUAAAGUCAAUUUUAAAGUCAGUAACCCAGAUUUUCCUUGCAUAUGCGGUAUCUAUUCUUAUUCUAAGACAGAAAGAAUUGAUACACCACACUGAUUUCAUUGAUGUUUGGUCAAUAUAUAAACAUACAUAUGUUGCCUGUUAGGUGAACUACCACUAGCUAAUUACAAGGGAAGAACAGGUAAACAAGAGCAACCACAGGUCAUGUAGCUGAUUGUGUGUGCGUGAGGCAGACUGAAUCAUCUGACGCUUGUGCCUAAAUAAAUGGUCAGACAUUGCUAGCUUAGUUUCGUGUCAUCUAGGGCUUUUCAUUUCAUCUCAUCUCAUCGUUUAUUAAUGUUAUUAUAUUAGUAUUAAGGAAAGCAAGGUUUGUCUAUGUCUUUUUUACAAUAACAUUUUAAGUUGUCAAUCGACCCAAGCAUCGGAUAAUGCAUAGGAGGAUGUAUGGGCAAUGAAUUGGUCAUUUUGCUUUGUUAUUCUUCUACAGUGAAUGAAGUGUCCUGAACAAGUACUUUUUUGCAAAUGUUGACCAUUCUCCUCUGUGAUAUACUGCAGUACGCAUCGCCCCGUCCGAUGGGGACCGGGCAGGACGCCUGUUCAUUAAGCCGGCAGCAGCGAAGGCAUCACAACUUCAAAUCAUGGAUCGAAGUUUCCACAUCUAUCGUGGGAUUGCAAAGAUGUGGUUGAAACAUACAACAUCGAGGCAAUUCCUGACCUUAGUGUUCAUGAAGGAUGGUGAGAAGGUCGGCACCAUCGUUAUUGACAUCUGGUAUAUCCGUUGGGUUUGACUGAAUUUUGUGUUGAUUCCACUUAUAGUUCAGAACUUCAAACGUGUCAUCCCAGAUGUUCUGAAAUUCCUUAUGUUCUACUGUCACUUAUUGUAUUUGAAGUUUGGAUCUGACUGCCACAAAAGCAAUAUGUGGCACUUAUUAUGCUGCUGAACUUUUUGUAGAAACGAGUUGUUGUAGUUGCUCCUAGCUGGUGUUGUUACUAGCAGUUUUGCAGUUUCC